rnacentral:rRNA from 1 species
GACGAACGCUGGCGGCGUGCUUAACACAUGCAAGUCGAACGGUAAGGCCCUUCGGGGUACACGAGUGGCGAACGGGUGAGUAACGCGUGAGUAACCUGCCCUUCACUCUGGGAUAACAGUUGGAAACGGCUGCUAAUACCGGAUAUUCAGCUCCUGUCGCAUGGUGGGGGUUGGAAAGUUUUGGUGGUGGAGGAUGGGCUCGCGUCCUAUCAGCUUGUUGGUGGGGUGAUGGCCUACCAAGGCGUCGACGGGUAGCCGGCCUGAGAGGGCGACCGGCCACAUUGGGACUGAGAUACGGCCCAAACUCCUACGGGGGGCAGCAGUGGGGAAUAUUGCACAAUGGGCGGAAGCCUGAUGCAGCAACGCCGCGUGCGGGAUGACGGCCUUCGGGUUGUAAACCGCUUUCAGCAGGGACGAAGCGAAAGUGACGGUACCUGCAGAAGAAGCACCGGCUAACUACGUG